CCAGAAAGCAACCCUCCAGCAUCCAGAUUACCCUUCGAAGACGGCAAAGAAAAAGAGAGCUCUGAAAUCACUCAACGCAUAGGAGCUGGUUCUAUAAUUUUUAGACUUUAAUUAAAUCAAUUAUUAAAGCCUUUCUUAAUGCCUUGCUGAGAUAUUCAGGCUCGGGCUGCCUCAGGAGAGAGGAAGUGGUUGAAUGCACAGAGGUGGCUAAUAAGAGGGGACACAACAUUCCAGAAUCCCACAGGAAAGAUUCUACCAUCUCCACAGCUGCCCUCGCCGCAGUCCUCCCUACUGUUGGAGAAGAUGCCCCCAAUAACUGGGGUGUCUCGAGCUAGUGGACACAUCAUGGAGCUGGGUGAGGCCAGAGGACCUUCCUAGAAAAGGGAAUAUUUCUCUCUCUCUCUUAGUGAUCUGCCUGGGUCAGGAGUUUGGGAUCACUGGCAAGUUGAACAGGUCCUGUGGAUCUUUUCUAGCCUCUGUGUGCCCUAGAGAAGGAGGGCUGGCUCACAUCUCCCUGUGGCCGUAUUCAGAAAUAACUGGGGAAUAGAACACAGUGUAUUGGCUCGUACAGAGUCCACGGUGAGGGGCCGUGGCCAUACCUGCUGCCUUGUUGACCUUGGUUUGCAGAGUGGACUGUGUCAUUAAGAUCCUCCCAUGGCCUCAUCCUGUGCUGGCCAUCGCUAUGCGUCCAGUAAGGAGGUAGAACACUGGAUGAGCCACAGAAAGCACACAGGACUUUGCUGUGGAAGAGUCAAAGAUCCACGUGGGAGCAUCCCGUAGGGGACUUGCGUUUCAGAUCAGAUGAUGCUUUUCAUGUAUGUCCAGCAGCAAGAGAGUCCUUCACUGGUGAAAAAUCACGGGCCUCAGAGCAGAUUUUAGUUCAUCUUUCAUUUCAAAGCACUCCUUAGAUAUCUGCAAAUUAAAUCCCCUAAUUUGGUGAGGACGCCCAGCUUCCCAAAUAACAAGGCUUUU
rnacentral:lncRNA from 1 species